rnacentral:rRNA from 1 species
ACUAACAAGGAUUCCCCUAGUAACUGCGAGUGAAGCGGGAAAAGCUCAAAUUUAAAAUCUGGCAGUCUUUGGCUGUCCGAGUUGUAUUCUAGAGAAGCGCUUUCCGUGCCGGACCGUGUACAAGUCUCUUGGAACAGAGCGUCAUAGAGGGUGAGAAUCCCGUCUUUGACACGGACUACCGGUGCUUUGUGAUGCGUUUUCAAAGAGUCGAGUUGUUUGGGAAUGCAGCUCAAAAUGGGUGGUAAAUUCCAUCUAAAGCUAAAUAUUGGCGAGAGACCGAUAGCGAACAAGUACCGUGAGGGAAAGAUGAAAAGCACUUUGGAAAGAGAGUUAAACAGUACGUGAAAUUGCUGAAAGGGAAACGCUUGAAGUCAGUCGCGUCGUUCAGAACUCAGCCUGGCUUUUGCUCGGUGCACUUUCUGAAUGACGGGCCAGCAUCAAUUUUGACUGUCGGAUAAAGGCCAGAGAAAUGUGGCUCCUUUGGGAGUGUUAUAGUCUCUGGUUGCAUACGAUGGUUGGGAUUGAGGAACUCAGCAUGCCUUUAUGGUCGGGGUUCGCCCACGUUCAUGCUUAGGAUGCUGGCGUAAUGGCUUUAAACGACCCGUCUUGAAACACGGACCAAGGAGUCUAACAUGCCUGCGAGUGUUUGGGUGGAAAACCCGAGCGCGCAAUGAAAGUGAAAGUUGGGAUCCCUGUCGUGGGGAGCACUGACGCCCGGACCAGACCUUCUGUGACGGAUCCGCGGUAGAGCAUGUAUGUUGGGACCCGAAAGAUGGUGAACUAUGCCUGAAUAGGGUGAAGCCAGAGGAAACUCUGGUGGAGGCUCGUAGCGAUUCUGACGUGCAAAUCGAUCGUCAAAUUUGGGUAUAGGGGCGAAAGACUAAUCGAACCAU